AUGCUUAGUAGCGGCGAGUGAGCGGCAAAAGCUCAAAUUUGAAAUCUGGCGCCUUCGGUGUCCGAGUUGUAAUUUGAAGAUUGUAACCUUGGGGUUGGCUCUUGUCUAUGUUUCUUGGAACAGGACGUCACAGAGGGUGAGAAUCCCGUGCGAUGAGAUGCCCAAUUCUAUGUAAGGUGCUUUCGAAGAGUCGAGUUGUUUGGGAAUGCAGCUCUAAGUGGGUGGUAAAUUCCAUCUAAAGCUAAAUAUUGGCGAGAGACCGAUAGCGAACAAGUACAGUGAUGGAAAGAUGAAAAGAACUUUGAAAAGAGAGUGAAAAAGUACGUGAAAUUGUUGAAAGGGAAGGGUUUGAGAUCAGACUCGAUAUUUUGUGAGCCUUGCCUUCGUGGCGGGGUGACCCGCAGCUUAUCGGGCCAGCAUCGGUUUGGGCGGUAGGAUAAUGGCGUAGGAAUGUGACUUUACUUCGGUGAAGUGUUAUAGCCUGCGUUGAUGCUGCCUGCCUAGACCGAGGACUGCGAUUUUAUCAAGGAUGCUGGCAUAAUGAUCCCAAACCGCCCGUCUUGA
rnacentral:rRNA from 1 species